UAUAGAUCGAUGAUGUUUAUUAAUCUGCGUUAUCUAUCUGCAACUACCCAGGAUUCGUUCCGGAACUGAAGAUAAUAUCUUGUUUCUGAGAUCUAGC